rnacentral:rRNA from 1 species
AGCGAACGCUGGCGGCAGGCUUAACACAUGCAAGUCGAACGGGCGUAGCAAUACGUCAGUGGCAGACGGGUGAGUAACGCGUGGGAACGUACCUUUUGGUUCGGAACAACCCAGGGAAACUUGGGCUAAUACCGGGAUAAGCCCUUACGGGGAAAGAUUUAUCGCCGAAAGAUCGGCCCGCGUCUGAUUAGCUAGUUGGUGUGGUAACGGCGCACCAAGGCGACGAUCAGUAGCUGGUCUGAGAGGAUGAUCAGCCACAUUGGGACUGAGACACGGCCCAAACUCCUACGGGAGGCAGCAGUGGGGAAUAUUGGACAAUGGGCGCAAGCCUGAUCCGGCCAUGCCGCGUGAGUGAUGAAGGCCCUAGGGUUGUAAAGCUCUUUUGUGCGGGAAGAUAAUGACGGUACCGCAAGAAUAAGCCCCGGCUAACUUCGUGCCAGCCGCCGCGGU